rnacentral:rRNA from 1 species
UACAGAGGUCUCAAGCGUUGUUCGGAUUCAUUGGGCGUAAAGGGUGCGUAGGCGGCGCGGUAAGUCGGGUGUGAAAUCUUGGAGCUUAACUCCGAAACUGCAUUCGAUACUGCCGUGCUUGAGGACUGGAGAGGAGACUGGAAUUUACGGUGUAGCGGUGAAAUGCGUAGAUAUCAGGAGGAACACCAAUUGCGAAGGCAGCUCGCUGGGACGUAACUGACGCUGAGACGCGAAAGCGUGGGGAGCAAACAGG